rnacentral:rRNA from 1 species
AGAAUCAACGCUGGCGGCGUGCCUCAGACAUGCAAGUCGAACGCGAAAGUCCCCUUCGGGGGACAAGUAGAGUGGCGCACGGGUGAGUAACACGUAGGUAAUCUACCUUCGGAUGGGGAAUAACAACCGGAAACGGUUGCUAAUACCGCAUAAUGCAGCGGCACCUAAUGGUGACAGUUGUUAAAGCGGGGGAUCGAAAGACCUCGCGUCUGAAGAGGAGCCUGCGGCGGAUUAGCUAGUUGGUAAGGUAAUGGCUUACCAAGGCAACGAUCC